AUCACAUGUUUGGGCAAACCUGACUAAGUGUGGUGGUAAGUUGCUAUGUUGUCACCAGUCACAUACACACAGGGACGAUCAGGUACAGCAGACCUGCCUACUUUUUUAUUUAUGUUGGGUUUUCCGUUGGUAAUAAUAACAACAACAUGAUGUUUCUAGAAAUCAUUCAAGUUAACAAACAUGAAGAUCUAUCUGUCUGAUAAGAUUCUCCUCAAUCUGGUCUAGGAAUCAAAGCAAACAUUGCAGUUAAUAAAUGGGAGAUGCCAUGUUUUGCUCUUAAGGCAAAUCCCAAUGGCUCUGUAGAGAGGAUAUAAAUUUUUAUUUUUUGUUUACCGCACACGCCCAACAUACAGAGGAAGAAAACGUUGACAGAAAGGCAGAACAUGAUAUGCCAAGAAUGUGGGAAAACUGGUCAUCUCAAAAGCACAUGCUUUGAAAUACAUGGGUACCCUGAUUGGUACAAAGCCCUUAUGAAAAAGAAGAAAGGACAAGAUAACAACAAUCAAGUCUUUAACACUGCUGAAGGUGAAAAACAUGUUGUAGCUGCAGCAGGAGAUACAGUCAACAAGAAGGUUAUUUCAGAAAUAAUUAAAGCUGAGCUCCGAAAGAUGAUGGCAGAAAAUAAUCUUAAUUACUCACCAUUUGGUCGUUUUUCAGGAGCCAUACUCCUAUCAACAAGUAGCAUCACAACCAGAAUGGGUGAAGGCUAUGCAAUAUGAGCUUAAGGCUUUGGAAGAUAAACAAACAUGGGAUGUGACCCCAUUACCACCUGACAAAAAGGCAAUUGGAUGUAGGUGGAUUUUCAAGUCAAAAUUCAAACCAGAUGGUUCAUUGGAUAGACACAAAGCCAGGUUUGUAGCUAAGGACACAACUAAAUAGAAGGGAUUGACUACUUUGAAAGCUUCUCACCAGUGGCUAAGGUUGUUACAAUGAGAACACUCAUUGCAUUUGCUGCUUCAGCUGGAUGGGAAUUGCAUCAAUUGGAUGUGAAUAAUGCAUUUCUCUAUGACUAUUUGGAUGAGGAACUUUACAUGGAACCACCAGAAGGUUAUGCAGUUCCUUCAGGAUGUGUGUGCAAGCUCAAGAAGUCCUUAUAUGGACUUAAACAGGAACAUCAUCAAUUCAAAUUACUGAAGUAAAACAAUAUCUUGAUCAACUAUUCACCAUCAGGGACCUGCUAGAUACUUUCUUGGCUUGGAAAUAGCUCGGGCUUCCGAAGGAGUGGAACUUGCUCAAAGCAAAUAUACAGGAUAUUGUUCAAGACUUGAAGUUAACUGAGGCUCGCACCACCAACACACCUCUCCCGCAUGGAAUCAAGCUGAAAUCAACUUCAUAUCAAGCUCUCCCUCAUCCAGCCAUUUACAGAAGACUGGUGAGCAGACUUCUGUACCUAAACUUCACAAGACCAGACAUCUCUCCUGCAGUACAACAACUUAGUCAAUUUCUCCAAGUCCCUUGUAAAAGUCAUUGGGAUGCAGCCACACAUGUAGUCAGAUACUUAAAGGGAACUUCACAUAAAGGACUAUUAUCCCUGCCAACAUUAGCUCCAACCUUACGGCAUACUGUGAUGCAGAUUGGGCCUUUUGCCCAGACAACAGAAGAUCCUUAACAUGAUAUUGCAUAUUCUUAGAAAAGGCUUUGAUAUCUUGGAAAACAAAGAAAAAAAAUACUGUUUCUCGCUCCGUGGCUGAGGCAAAGUACAGAGCCAUGGGCUCUACUGCUUGUGAGCUUGUCUGGAUUGCAGCUCUUCUCAAGGAUCUUGGCAUACACAUUUCUUGUCCAAUUCCUUUCUUAUGUGAUAAUAGGGCUGCACUACAUAUCAUUAGCAAUCAUGUGUUUCACGAGAGAACUAAACACUUGGAAAUAGAUUGCCAUUUAGUACGUGAUCACUACAAGUCUGGCUUCCUUGCUCCUACUCAUGUUUGAUCAAAGGAUCAAUUGGACAACAUUUUCACUAAGCCAUUGACAGGACCCCUCUUUCAUUCUUUUCUUCGCAAGCUGGGCUUAUAAACUUCACAGUUGGUCCAGCUUGAGGGGGGUUGACAGAAUAGUGAUGCUCAGAAGUGCAGUGACUCGAAGUGGAAGAUGAUGAACAGGGAUCAUUUUUUACUAAGGCCUAAGAAAAUUGCUGUUCUCCAAAUGACACUAACGACGCUAUGUAAAUUAAAGAAGGCAGAAUUCAUCUCACGCUUUUAUACUUCAGUUUUUAAGCUUUCUUAUGUAAAUACGUUUAUAUAAGUGGAGUAGCACUUUUAGUUGUUUUAGUGCACUAGCCGUUGGAUAGGUGGUUAGUUUAACUUUCUUUCUUCAUUCAUAUUGUGUAUAUAUAUACACAGAUGUAUAGCAGCUGCACUAGAACUCCAUUUUCUUCUCGAAUGAAUGGAUCUGAA